CUUAAAAACUUGCAUACUUCUGUUAAAAAGUCACAUGAAUCUUUCAUCCUUCUAAUUGCAUUAACUUUGCUUGGAUCUGGCUUUCUCUCAUAAAAUCCACACAAAUGGCCAACAAUAAGAACUUCUUGCAAUCCAAAUGUAGAUUUUGCUCCUGAAAGUGUAAGAUGAACCUCUUCAAGUCGAGUUAAAAUCUUUUCACAAUCUUGUAUAUGAUCAAC
rnacentral:lncRNA from 1 species